UACGUAGGGAGCAAGCGUUGUUCGGAUUUACUGGGCGUAAAGGGCGCGUAGGCGGCGCGGUAAGUCACUUGUGAAAUCUCUGAGCUUAACUCAGAACGGCCAAGUGAUACUGCAGUGCUAGAGUGCAGAAGGGGCAAUCGGAAUUCUUGGUGUAGCGGUGAAAUGCGUAGAUAUCUGGAGGAAUACCGGUGGCGAAGGCGGCAUCCUGGACCGACAUUGACGCUGAUGAGCGAAAGCCAGGGGAGCAAACGGG
rnacentral:rRNA from 1 species